rnacentral:rRNA from 1 species
UACGUAGGGGGCAAGCGUUGUCCGGAAUCAUUGGGCGUAAAGCGCGUGUAGGCGGCCCGGUAAGUCCGCUGUGAAAGUCGGGGGCUCAACCCUCGGAUGCCGGUGGAUACUGUCGGGCUGGAGUGCGGAAGAGGCGAGUGGAAUUCCUGGUGUAGCGGUGAAAUGCGCAGAUAUCAGGAGGAACACCAAUUGCGAAGGCAGCUCGCUGGGACGUUACUGACGCUGAGACGCGAAAGCGUGGGGAGCGAACAGG